GGGCCCAUGGUCCAGUGGUCUAAGACGUCUCGUUUACACCGAGAAGGUCGGAGGUUCGAACCCUCCUGGGCCCA
rnacentral:tRNA from 4 species